rnacentral:lncRNA from 1 species
AUGGAGGGAAUAAUUUGGGAUGGAAGGAAUGGUUUGGGAUGGAGGGAGCUCAGAGCUCAUCCAUGGCAGGGACACCUCCCACUGUCCCAGGCUGCUCCAAGCCCUGUCCAGCCUGGCCUGGGACACCUGAGGUGUCCAGGGGAAUGUGGGAAAGCCUGGAGGGAAGUGCAGGGAGCUGGGGAGGUGCUGGCAGCAGCACCCAGCCCUUCCCGGGGUGCAGCACUGCUGGAUUCAGCAUUCCCAGGGGGUGCAGCAUUCCAGGAUUCAGCAUUCCCAGGGGUGCAGCAUUCCCAGGGGGUGCAGCAUCCCCCAGCAGCUCAGUCCCUCUGUUCCCCUGUUCCCCACAGCACGAUCGCCCGUGUUCAGCGCCAUGUUCGAGCACGAGAUGGAGGAGAGCAAAAAGGUGAGGCCUGGGGCAUGGUCCUGCUCAGGAGAUCCCCUCUGGCACCUGGAACUGCUCCUCUCCCUGAAGGGAGCAGGAAAAGAGGGAUUUGGGAUCCAUUGUCCCUUUGUUCCCUUGGGGGGGCACAGGGGGAAUGUGGGAUACAGUUUAGAGUUAUUCCAUCCACAUAUUUUUUUUCCUCCCCUUCUUUUCCCUCUCUUUUCCUCCAUUUUCCCUUCCUUUCCCUCCUCUUUUUCCCCUUCCCCCUUUUUUUUCCUUUCCUUUCCUUUCCUUUCCUUUCCUUUCCUUUCCUUUCCUUUCCUUUCCUUUCCUUUCCUUUCCUUUCCUUUCCUUUCCUUUCCUUUCCUUUCCUUUCCUUUCCUUUCCUUUCCUUUCCUUUCCUUUCCUUUCCUUUCCUUUCCUUUCCUUUCCUUUCCUUUCCUUUCCUUUCCUUUCCUUUCCUUUCCUUUCCUUUCCUUUCCUUUCCUUUCCUUUCCUUUCCUUUCCUUUCCUUUCCUUUCCUUUCCUUUCCUUUCCUUUCCUUUCCUUUCCUUUCCUUUCCUUUCCUUUCCUUUCCUUUCCUUUCCUUUCCUUUCCUUUCCUUUCCUUUCCUUUCCUUUCCUUUCCUUUCCUUUCCUUUCCUUUCCUUUCCUUUCCUUUCCUUUCCUUUCCUUUCCUUUCCUUUCCUUUCCUUUCCUUUCCUUUCCUUUCCUUUCCUUUCCUUUCCUUUCCUUUCCUUUCCUUUCCUUUCCUUUCCUUUCCUUUCCUUUCCUUUCCUUUCCUUUCCUUUCCUUUCCUUUCCUUUCCUUUCCUUUCCUUUCCUUUCCUUUCCUUUCCUUUCCUUUCCUUUCCUUUCCUUUCCUUUCCUUUCCUUUCCUUUCCUUUCCUUUCCUUUCCUUUCCUUUCCUUUCCUUUCCUUUCCUUUCCUUUCCUUUCCUUUCCUUUCCUUUCCUUUCCUUUCCUUUCCUUUCCUUUCCUUUCCUUUCCUUUCCUUUCCUUUCCUUUCCUUUCCUUUCCUUUCCUUUCCUUUCCUUUCCUUUCCUUUCCUUUCCUUUCCUUUCCUUUCCUUUCCUUUCCUUUCCUUUCCUUUCCUUUCCUUUCCUUUCCUUUCCUUUCCUUUCCUUUCCUUUCCUUUCCUUUCCUUUCCUUUCCUUUCCUUUCCUUUCCUUUCCUUUCCUUUCCUUUCCUUUCCUUUCCUUUCCUUUCCUUUCCUUUCCUUUCCUUUCCUUUCCUUUCCUUUCCUUUCCUUUCCUUUCCUUUCCUUUCCUUUCCUUUCCUUUCCUUUCCUUUCCUUUCCUUUCCUUUCCUUUCCUUUCCUUGCAGGAUUUUGGGGUGGGGGGAGCCCUGGAUCCUCUUGA